AUCCCACUGAGUCCCACUGAGACCCAUAGGAACCCAUUGAGACCCAUAGAAUCCCAUAGAAACUCAUUGGGUCCCAUAGAAUCCCAUUGAGUCCCAUUGAGUCCCAUAGAAUCCCAUUGGGUCCCAUUGGGUCUCAUUGAGUCCCAUUGAGUCCCAUUGGGUCCCAUUGAGACACAUUGAGUCCCAUUGAAUCCCAUUGAGUCCCAUUAGGUGACCUGGGUCCCAUUGAGUCCCAUGGAGACCCAUAGAAUCCCAUUGGGUUCCAUUGAGUCCCAUAGAAUCCCAUUGAGACCCAUAGAAUCCCAUUGGGUCCCAUUGAAUCCCAUUGAGUCCCAUUGGGUCCCAUUGAGUCCCGUAGAAACCCAUUGGGUCCCAUUGAGUCCCAUAGAAUCCCAUAAAAUCCCAUUGGGUCCCAUUGAGUCCCAUAGAAUCCCACUGAAUCCCAUAGAAUCCCAUUGAGUCCCAUAGAAUCCCAUUGAGUCCCAUUGAGACCCAUUGAGUCCCAUAAAAUCCCAUUGGGUCCCAUAGAAUCCCAUAGAAACCCAUUGGGUCCCAUUGAGUCCCAUAGAAUCCCAUAAAAUCCCAUUGGGUCCCAUAGAAUCCCAUAGAAACCCAUUGGGUCCCAUAGAAUCCCAUAGAAACCCAUUGAGUCCCAUUGGCUCCCAUCAGGUCCCGUUGGGUCUCCCUAUGGGGUCCCUAUGUGUCCCUAUGGGGUCUCUCUCUAUGGAGUCCCUAUGUCUCCCUAUGGGGUCCCUAUGGGGUCCCUUUGGGGUCUCUAUGGUCUCCCCAUGGGGUCCCUAUGGGGUUUUAUGGGGUCCCUAUGGGGUCUCUCUCUAUAGGAUCUCUAUGGGGUCCCUAUGGGGUCUCUCCCUAUGGUCUCCCUAUGGGGUCCCUAUGUCUCCCUAUGGGGUCCGUAUGGGGUCCCUUUGGGGUCCCUCUCUAUGGGGUCCCCAUGUCUCCCUAUGGGGUUUUAUAUGUGGUCCCUCCCUAUGGUCUCCCCAUGGGGUCCCUAUGGGGUUUUAUGGGGUCCCUAUGGGGUCUCUCUCUAUAGGAUCUCUAUGGUGUCCCUAUGGGGUCUCUCCCUAUGGGGUCCCUAUGGGGUCCCUUCUGGGGUCUCUAUGGUGCCCCUAUGGGGUCCCUACGUGGUCCCUAUGGGGUCUCUCCCUAUGGGGUCUCCAUGCAUCCCUAUGGGGUCCCUAUGGGGUCUCUCUCUAUGGGGUCCCUAUGGGGUCCCUAUGGGGUUCCUAUGGGGUCUCUCUCUAUGGUCUCCCUAUGGGGUCCCUAUGUCUCCCUAUGGGGUCCCUAUGGGGUCUCUCCCUAUGCUCUCCCUAUGGGGUCCCUUUGGGGUCUCUAUGGUCUCCCUAUGGGGUCCCUAUGGGGUCUCUCCCUAUGGUGUCCCUAUGGGGUCCCCAUGUCUCCCCAUGGUGUCCCUAUGGGGUCUCAAUGUCUCCCUAUGGGGUCCCUAUGGGGUCUCUCCCUAUGGGGUCCCUAUGGGGUCUCCAUGCAUCCCUAUGGGGUCCCUUUGGGGUCCCUCUCUAUGGGGUCCCCAUGUCUCCCUAUGGGGUCCCUAUGGGGUCUCUAUGGUGUCCCUAUGGGGUCCCUAUGUCUCCCUAUGGGGUCCCUAUGGGGUCUCUCUCUAUAGGAUCUCUAUUGUGUCCCUAUGGGGUCUCUCCCUAUGGGGUCUCUCCCUAUGGGGUCCCUAUGGGGUCUCUAUGGUGUCCCUAUGGGGUCCCUUUGGGGUCUCUAUGGUCUCCCCAUGGGGUCCCUAUGGGGUCUCUCCCUAUGGUCUCCCCAUGGGGUCCCUAUGGGGUCCCUUUGGGGUCUCUCUCUAUAGGAUCUCUAUGGGGUCCCUAUGGGGUCCCUUUGGGGUCUCUAUGGUGUCCCUAUGGUGUCCCUAUGGGGUCUCUAUGGUGUCCCUAUGGUGUCCCCAUGUCUCCCCAUGGUGUCCCUAUGGGGUCU
rnacentral:lncRNA from 1 species